rnacentral:rRNA from 1 species
GACGAACGCUGGCGGCGUGCUUAACACAUGCAAGUCGAACGGAAAGGCCCUGCUUUUGUGGGGUGCUCGAGUGGCGAACGGGUGAGUAACACGUGAGUAACCUGCCCUUGACUUUGGGAUAACUUCAGGAAACUGGGGCUAAUACCGGAUAGGAGCUCCUGCUGCAUGGUGGGGGUUGGAAAGUUUCGGCGGUUGGGGAUGGACUCGCGGCUUAUCAGCUUGUUGGUGGGGUAGUGGCUUACCAAGGCUUUGACGGGUAGCCGGCCUGAGAGGGUGACCGGCCACAUUGGGACUGAGAUACGGCCCAGACUCCAACGGGAGGCAGCAGUGGGGAAUAGUGCACAAUGGGCGGAAGCCUGAUGCAGCAACGCCGCGUGCGGGAUGACGGCCUUCGGGUUGUAAACCGCUUUCGCCUGUGACGAAGCGUGAGUGACGGUAAUGGGUAAAGAAGCACCGGCUAACUACGUG